AUUGAGUGCUAAGAGAAUGGAUUAACGGUAAAAUUCUUUUUUAAUUUCAAAAAUUGAAGUUAUUUUUGUUAGUGAAGAAACUACAAUAAAAAUUAAGGACAAGAAGACCCUAAGAAUUUUAAAUAAUUUAAAAAAAAAAUUUUUUUUAAAUUAUUUUAAUUGGGGCGAUUAAUAAAAAUAAGAAACUUUAUUUCUCCAAAAAAAUGAACCAUUAAUAAUGGCCAUAUGAAAAAAAUACUCUAGGGAUAACAGCGUAAUAAUUUUAGAUAGUUCUUAUAGACAAAAUAGUUUGCGACCUCGAUGUUGGAUUAGGAUUCUUAUUUAAUGAAGAAGU
rnacentral:rRNA from 1 species